rnacentral:rRNA from 1 species
GAAUACCUACGGGACGCAGCAGUAGGGAAUUUUCGUCAAUGGGCGCAAGCCUGAACGAGCAAUGCCGCGUGAGCGGGGAAGGUCUUCGGAUCGUAAAGUUCUGUUGAAGGGGAAAAAGAGCGGAGAGAGGAAAUGGUCUCCGAUUGAUAUUACCCUUCGAGGAAGUCACGGCUAACUACGUGCCAGCAGCCGCGGCAAUACGUAGGUGGCGAGCGUUAUCCGGAAUGAUUGGGCGUAAAGGGUGCGUAGGCGGCGUGCUAAGUCUGGAGUGAAAGGUACCGGCUCAACCGGUACAGGCGCUGGAA